AGUCCAGACUCCUACGGGAGGCAGCAGUGAGGAAUAUUGGUCAAUGGCCGAGAUCCUGAACCAGCCAAGCCGCGUGAGGGAAGACGGCCCUAUGGGUUGUAAACCUCUUUUGUCAGGGAGCAAAGGGCGCCACGUGUGGCGCUUUGCGAGUACCUGAAGAAAAAGCAUCGGCUAACUCCGUGCCAGCAGCCGCGGUAAUACGGAGGAUGCGAGCGUUAUCCGGAUUUAUUGGGUUUAAAGGGUGCGCAGGCGGAAUGUCAAGUCAGCGGUAAAAAUUCGGGGCUCAACCCCGUCGUGCCGUUGAAACUGAUGUUCUUGAGUGGGCGAGAAGUAUGCGGAAUGCGUGGUGUAGCGGUGAAAUGCAUAGAUAUCACGCAGAACUCCGAUUGCGAAGGCAGCAUACCGGCGCCCAACUGACGCUGAAGCACGAAAGCGUGGGUAUCGAACAGGAUUAGAUACCCUAGUAA
rnacentral:rRNA from 1 species